AUUUAUUUAUUUAUUUAUUAUUUUCUUAAUAAAAUGAUUCACUUGGUGUAUGAUUUAACUAUCAUGCAUUUUUUUAUUUCAAAAAAAAUAUAUCAUCCAUUUUUCCUUCUAUAAAGAAAAUCUUUGAGCUUGUAGUAGUGGCAAUCCUCAAUCUGUGCUCACCUUUGAAUGUUUGUGAGUUCUAGGAUUGGGUUGCUUGUUCUUUUGUGCAUAUUGUGGGGAACUGACAAUUUUAAUCAA
rnacentral:misc_RNA from 1 species